CCUACGGGGGGCAGCAGUAGGGAAUUUUGCGCAAUGGGCGAAAGCCUGACGCAGCAACGCCGCGUGAUUGAUUAAGCCCUUCGGGGUGUAAAGAUCUGUCAGUGGGGACGAAACUUGACGGUACCCACAGAGGAAGCACCGGCUAACUCCGUGCCAGCAGCCGCGGUAAUACGGAGGGUGCAAGCGUUGUCCGGAAUCAUUGGGCGUAAAGAGUUCGUAGGUGGCAUAUUAAGUCUGGUGUUAAAUGCAGAAGCUCAACUUCUGUUCGGCACUGGAUACUGGUAAGCUUGAAUGCGGUAGAGGUA
rnacentral:rRNA from 1 species